rnacentral:piRNA from 1 species
UGGAACUGGGGACAGACAGGAGGCCA